GAUUAACGCUAGCGGCAGGCAUAAUACAUGCCAGUUGAACGGCAGCACAGGUAGCACUACUGGGUGGCGAGUGGCGCACGGGUGCGUAACACGUAUGCAACCUACCCUAUACAGGCGAAUAACCUUUAGAAAUGAGGGCUAAUACGCCGUAGUAUUACAGAUGGGCAUCUAUUUGUAAUUAAAGAUUUAUCGGUAUAGGAUGGGCAUGCGUCCCAUUAGUUAGUUGGUAAGGUAACGGCUUACCAAGACGAUGAUGGGUAGGGGAUCUGAGAGGACUUACCCCACACUGGUACUGAGACACGGACCAGACUCCUACGGGAGGCAGCAGUAAGGAAUAUUGGGCAAUGGCCGCGAGGCUGACCCAGCCAUGCCGCGUGCAGGAAGACGGCCUUAUGGGUUGUAAACUGCUUUUAUACGGGAAUAAUAGAGUGUACGCGUACAUUUAUGCAAGUAUCGUAUGAAUAAGCAUCGGCUAACUCCGUG
rnacentral:rRNA from 1 species